GGCAGUACCAUCUGGCAGUAUCCUCUGCUACUCCAUGAUUGCCAGGGUUGACGUGGCCAAUCUGGCUGGGUAGGUGAGCAUCUCAUUCCUCCCUCACUCCACGCGUGUCCCUCCAGAAGCUGUCCACUUGGUAGAAGACAACUUUCCUCCAGAAGAGAAACAGUUUUCAGUCAAAGAUAUACAAGUAGGCACACUCCUCUGCUAGGACUUCCAAACAAGAACCCCAGACUGUCUUCCUGGUUUCNGGAGACUGAGUCCUUGGCACUCCCUUCUCUAUAGAGAACUNCAUGGGCUUGGGAGCCAAUGG
rnacentral:snRNA from 1 species